rnacentral:rRNA from 1 species
GCCCGGGCGGGGGGCUUAUACAUGCAGUCGAACGAACUCUGGUAAUGAUUGGUGCUUGCAUCAUGAAUUACAUUUGAGUGAGUGGCGAACUGGUGAGUAACACGUGGGAAACCUGCCCAGAAGCGGGGGAUAACACCUGGAAACAGAUGCUAAUACCGCAUAACAACUUGGACCGCAUGGUCCGAGUUUGAAAGAUGGCUUCGGCUAUCACUUUUGGAUGGUCCCGCGGCGUAUUAGCUAGAUGGUGAGGUAACGGCUCACCAUGGCAAUGAUACGUAGCCGACCUGAGAGGGUAAUCGGCCACAUUGGGACUGAAACACGGCCCAAACUCCUACGGGAGGCAGCAGUAGGGAAUCUUCCACAAUGGACGAAAGUCUGAUGGAGCAACGCCGCGUGAGUGAAGAAGGGUUUCGGCUCGUAAAACUCUGUUGUUAAAGAAAAACAUAUCUGAAAGUAACUGUUCAGGUAUUGACGGUAUUUAACCAAAAAGCCACGGCUAACUACGUGCCAGCAGCCGCGGUAAUACGUAGGUGGCAAGCGUUGUCCGGAUUUAUUGGGCGUAAAGCGAGCGCAGGCGGUUUUUUAAGUCUGAUGUGAAAGCCUUCGGCUCAACCGAAGAAGUGCAUCGGAAACUGGGAAACUUGAGUGCAGAAAAGGACAGUGGAACUCCAUGUGUAGCGGUGAAAUGCGUAGAUAUAUGGAAGAACACCAGUGGCGAAGGCGGCUGUCUGGUCUGUAACUGACGCUGAGGCUCGAAAGUAUGGGUAGCAAACAGGAUUAGAUACCCUGGUAGUCCAUACCGUAAACGAUGAAUGCUAAGUGUUGGAGGGUUUCCGCCCUUCAGUGCUGCAGCUAACGCAUUUAAGCAUUCCGCCUGGGGAGUACGGCCGCAAGGCUGAAACUCAAAGGAAUUUGACGGGGCCCGCACAAGCGGUGAAGCAUGUGGUUUAAUUCGAAGCUACGCGAAGAACCUUACCAGGUCUUGACAUACUAUGCAAAUCUAAGAAGAUAGACGUUCCCUUCGGGACAUGGAUACAGGUGGUUGCAUGUUGUCGUCAGCUCGUGUCGUGAGAUGUGGUAAGUUCCGCACGAGCGCAACCUUAUUAUCAGUGCAGCAUAGUCGGCACUCUGUGAACUGCGUGACAACGAAGAAGUGGGAUGACGUCAAAUCAUCAUG